rnacentral:rRNA from 1 species
UGCAUCGAUGAAGAACGCAGCGAAAUGCGAUAAGUAAUGUGAAUUGCAGAAUUCAGUGAAUCAUCGAAUCUUUGAACGCACCUUGCGCUCCAUGGUAUUCCGUGGAGCAUGCCUGUUUGAGUGUCAUGAAUACUUCAACCCUCCUCUUUCUUAAUGAUUGAAGAGGUGUUUGGUUUCUGAGCGCUGCUGGCCUUUACGGUCUAGCUCGUUCGUAAUGCAUUAGCAUCCGCAAUCGAACUUCGGAUUGACUUGGCGUAAUAGACUAUUCGCUGAGGAAUUCUAGUCUUCGGAUUAGAGCCGGGUUGGGUUAAAGGAAGCUUCUAAUCAGAAUGUCUACAUUUUAAGAUUAGAUCUCAAAUCAGGUAGGACUACCCGCUGCACUUAAGCAUAUCAAUAAGCGGAGGA